UACGUAGGGGGCAAGCGUUGUCCGGAAUUAUUGGGCGUAAAGAGCGCGUAGGCGGUCCGAUAAGUCGGCUGUGAAAGUCAGGGGCUCAACCCUUGAAAGCCGGCCGAUACUGUCGGACUAGAGUCCGGAAGAGGCAAGUGGAAUUCCCGGUGUAGCGGUGAAAUGCGCAGAUAUCGGGAGGAACACCAAUGGCGAAGGCAGCUUGCUGGGACGGUACUGACGCUGAGGCGCGAAAGCGUGAGGAGCAAACAGG
rnacentral:rRNA from 1 species